rnacentral:rRNA from 1 species
CCUACGGGGUGCAGCAGUGAGGAAUAUUGGUCAAUGGACGAGAGUCUGAACCAGCCAAGUAGCGUGAAGGAUGACUGCCCUAUGGGUUGUAAACUUCUUUUAUAUGGGAAUAAAAUGUUCCACGUGUGGGAUUUUGUAUGUACCAUAUGAAUAAGGAUCGGCUAACUCCGUGCCAGCAGCCGCGGUAAUACGGAGGAUCCGAGCGUUAUCCGGAUUUAUUGGGUUUAAAGGGAGCGUAGGUGGAUUGUUAAGUCAGUUGUGAAAGUUUGCGGCUCAACCGUAAAAUUGCAGUUGAAACUGGCAGUCUUGAGUACAGUAGAGGUGGGCGGAAUUCGUGGUGUAGCGGUGAAAUGCUUAGAUAUCACGAAGAACUCCGAUUGCGAAGGCAGUUCACUGGACUGCAACCGACACUGAGGCUCGAAAGUGUGGGUAUCAAACAGGAUUAGAUACCCCUGUAGUC